rnacentral:rRNA from 1 species
AUAAUAAUUAGUCUUUUAAUUGGAGGCUGGUAUGAAGGAUUGGACGAGAUAAAUACUGUCUCAAUUAAAUUAAGAUUUAAUUUAAUUUUUAAGUAAAAAAGCUUAAAUUUUAUUAUAGGACGAGAAGACCCCAUAGAGUUUUAUAUUAAGUUUUAUAUUUUUUAUAAAAUUAUAUUUAAUUAUGAUUUAGUAUUUUAUUGGGGCGAUAGAAAAAUUUAAUAAACUUUUUUAAUAUUAAUACAAAGAUUAUUGAAAUUUUGAUCCUAAAUUUUAGAUUAUUAGAUUAAGUUACCUUGGGGAUAACAGCGUUAUUUUUUUUAGAAGUUCAUAUUAAUAAAAAAGAUUGC